rnacentral:lncRNA from 1 species
GCGGCCGCUUCCCCGCCCGCCGAGAGCGGUAGUGCGGGUCGCUGGCUGCUGCAAACAACAGGAAGGAGGAGCGCACGAGGAGGAGGAGGGGUGUUGGCGCGUGUGUUUCACACUCGCCUCCCUGGCGUUCGCGAGCUGACCCGAGGAGUGGUAAUCUCACGCGGCAAAGCAGGGAGGAAGAAAAAAAGGAGACAAAAGAAAAAAAGACUUUUAUCUGGGCAGAAAGUCACAAUGCCUAGCGGCCAAACGUUUGUGAGCGGUGAAGUUGGUUGACUGCUCAAGUUUGCAGAGCUUCAGCAGUAGGUUACUUUCUCUGGACGGUUUCUGCUAUCUUUGCUCUUUUCGAGCUCUAGCAUCGUUUGCAAAUAUUUCAAUGACUUGGACCAAGUGCAGAGUUUUACUUCAUAGCUCACCCUUUUAGAUUCGGAGUACAGAAAAAGGCAUCGUGGAGUUUUAGGGUUGGUUUUCAUCAAUCCUUUCCAAGGCCUUUACUUUCUACAUGGAGAAACGUGUAGAGGGAGAGGUUGUGAAUUGCCAAAGACAUGCCGUUAGAUUCCAGAUCUCCUGUGUUUGACCAAAGUUCUUGACCAAAGUUCUUAAUAUCUUAUUUGAACCAAAUUAUAUUGUAUUUGGAAUAUUGGGUAGCCACAGGCCCUUGGACUUCAGUGAUAUUCCAAACUAUUGAUGGCAAAUGACAUUAUGGAGAUCUGAGUAAAAGAAAGUCGUUGGGAUUUUUUCCUCAUUAUAUUACAAACUCUUGAGAAUCCAGACUAAAUUUUAAAUGACUUGUUGUCACACUCAACACUUUGAAUAUAGUAGACAAUAAAGAUUAGGCGAAUGAGACCAGGCGCGGUGGCUUACGCCUGUAAUCCCAGCACUUUGGGAGGCCGAGGCAGGCAGAUCAUUUGAGAUCAGGAGUUCGAGACCAACCUGGCCAACAUGGUAAAACCCCGUCUCUACUAAAAAUACAAAAAUUAGCGGGGGGUGGUGGUGCCCGCCUAUAGUCCCAGCUACUCCAGAGCCUGAGGCAGGAGAAUCUCUUAAACCCAGGAGGCAGACGUUGCAGUGUUGCAGUGAGCCGAGAUGCCACCACUGCACUUCAGCCUGGGCAACAAAGCAAGACUCUGUCUCAAAUAAAAAAAAAAAAGAUUAGGUGAAUGAAAAUUCUAUAUGGCAAUAAUUAAUCAAGAAGAUUUCAUGCAAGAAAGAUUUUGCUUAAUUUUAAGUAACAAUAAACUAACAAAAAAGGUCACUGAAGCGACAUCAAAUACAACAGCAUUAACUAGUAAAGCUGAACACACCAUUUAUAACACAUCAUAGGCACAGAACUUUAUAACCUUUAUUAAUAACCUAUUCAUAAUAACCUUUAUUUUAAUCAAAUCUAUAAACAAAACUUAAAAUUGAAAAUCUGAAGUAAAACAUGAAAAAUUCAGUUGAUACAACCAUUUUCCAACAACCUAUCCAAGAAAGGCUAUCUUUAUUUGAUUUGACAUGGGACACAUCAUUGACAAGUUUUGCAAAUUUAUUUUAUUGAUUAUUGUCAAGUAGUAUUUCUUAGAACAUACUGAAUUAGGAAGAUUCUAAUUUGUUUUUAACUUUAUAACAGAACAUUGUGUUAUAUGUGCAGGGACAGGAAUUAAUAACACUAAAUGUAUUAAUAUUUUUAAAACUUACACUUCUAUGGUGUCUUAGUUUGAGAAAGUACCAUAAACUGGGUGACUUAACGGAAAUUAAUUUUCUCACAGUUCUGGAGGCUGCAAGUCGACGAUCAGGAGGCUGCCAUGGCCAGGUUGUGGUGAGGGCCCCCUUCUUGGCUGUCAGAUUGUGGCUUUCUCAUUGUGUCAAAUGGCAGAGAGAGAGAGAAAGACAGACAGAACAGAGACAGCAUAAGCUCUCAGAUUUCUUAUAAGGGCACUAAUUCCAUCUGAGGGCUCAAUCUUCACGAUUUCAUCUAAACCUAAUCACCUCCCAAAGGCCCGAGGGUUAGGGUUUCAACAUACAAAUGUUGGGGAGAUAUAGUUCAUCCCAUGGCAUGUAAUCAUAUUUUAUAGUAGCUAUCUUGGUAAUUUUUAAAAACAAUAUUUUUUAAAUUUCAGCUUUAAAAGGUUUUCUACAAAGCAAUUAUAUUAUUAGUGAUUCUAAAAGGUCAAUUAACAAUUUAUUUUGCACUGUUAUUUGUGUUUUUCACAAUGAAUUUUUUAUCUCUUUAGAUUGCCUGGGGUUCAAUUAGAAAUUAUUCACAAAUUAGCAGCCAUUUUAAUUAGCAUUCAAAAUCUUAUGUCUGUCUGAAGAGCUAAAAAUCGCUUAUACCAGUGGUUCCCAGACCUUAGGGGAAAAAAUCAUCUACAAUGUUUGUUAAAAAUCUAGAUGCUUGGAUCCAAACCCCAGGGAUCAAAUUAGCAUUUGAUAUGAGAAUAUGACCUGUGAGUCCACAUUUUUCACAGUUCAGAUAAUUCUCAUGCACAACAUAGUCAUUCUUUGAGAAACGCCAAAUAGCACAAUGAAAAAUAAUGCAAUAUAUAUUUUUCCUAAAAAUCGACAAAAAACAGAGAUUGAUAAUGCAAAAGUUUUUUAAAUAUUGCUAAAUGUUUUUAAAAAUUCUAUUUUUUAAAAAAACUAAGAAACAUGAUUUUUUAAAAGUUAUGAUACAAAUAAUGUUUAAGAACAUGAUAUUGAUCAGUUUUGUAAUUUAACUUUUAUUUCUGUAUCCUUUUGACUAUAAAGGAGAUAACUCUCAAAAGGCUGUAAAUUCCUACAUCAGUUCUUUGUGCCAUUUCUGACAAAGGCUUAAAAAUUAUUUCCAACAAAAGUCAAAGCUGGCUGAGUGCUCACGCCUGGCUGGGCACUCACGCCUGUCUGUAAUCCUAGCACUUUGGAGGGCUGAGAGAAGAGGAUUGCCUGAACCCAGGAACUCAGGACCAGCCUGGACAACAUGGCAAAACCCCAUUUCUACAAAAACUACAAAAAUUAGCUGGGCGUGGUAGUGCACACUUGUAGUCCCAGCCACUAGAGAGGCUGAGGUGAGAGGAUCACUUGAGCCCAAGAGGUCAAGGAUGUAGUGACCUGUCAUCCUGCCACUGCAAUCCAGCCUGAGUGACAGAGUGAGAAUCUAUCCUAAAAAAAAAAAAAAAAAAAAAAAUCCAAUUGAACUAAACUAUAUUUCAUUGACCUAUAAGGGUAAUAAAUGCAUAACAGUAAUCCUUCAUUAAAUUCAAUUUACGCUGAUUAGUUGGGUAGAUACUAUUUUCAAUUAUAAUAUUGUUUAUAUGCCCCUGGUUAAAUUUUCUUUUUUUAAAUGCAUUUUGGAAGUGCAGCUCCUUAGCUAGUUCAGGACUAAGAAGGAAGGCUUAAAUAUUUCAAAACAGAAUGAUUUCUUAGUCCACAGCUCAUUAAACUUAUAGUAUCUAACAUUUGUGGAAUUUCACAAAUGCCAUUUUUAUAGAGAUUCAGGAUCAAUUUAAAAUAUGCACAGUUUUGUCAUAAUCUGGUAGUUAAAUAUUUAAGAAAAUCCAACAAAAUUUUACUUGUUUAUUGAUGAUGACAGACUGACUUUUUUUUUUUUUUUUGAGAUGGAGUUUUGCUCUUGUUGCCCAGGCUGGAGUGCAAUGGCAUGAUCUCAGCUCACUGCAACCUCUGCUUCCCAGGUUCAAGAGAUUCUCCUGCCUUAGCCUCCCUAGUAGCUGGGAUUACAGGCAUGCACCACCAUGCCCAGCUAAUUUUGUUUUUUUAGUAGAGGCAGGGUUUCGCCAUUUUGGUCAGGCUGGUUUUGAACUCCUGACCUCAGGUGAUCCACCCACCCUGGUCUGCCAAAGUGUUGGGAUUACAGGCAUGAGCCACCAUACCUGGCCAUGCAGACUGAUUUUUUAAGUGCAUUAGCCCAUUCGGUGAUCAUGAAUGGUUGGAACUUUAGACUCUCAGAUGCCCUUUGAGCUAACAAAUCUCCAUCAAAAGACUGCUACAUCAACCCUAAUACCUUCUUCUUGUAAUCUAAGUUAAUGAAAAUAAAAUACAGUUUUCCAUUUUUCCUUUCAAAACCUUGCAACAUACAGGCCAGGCACGGUGGCUCACACCUGUAACCCCAGCACUUUGAGAGGUCAAGGUGGGUGGAUCACCUGAGGUCAGGAGUUCGAGACCAGCCUGGCCAACAUGGUGAAACCCUGUCUCUACUAAACAUACGAAAAAUUAGCGAGCAUAUUGCCAUGCGCUUGUAAUCCUAGCUACUCAGGAGACUGAGGCAGGAGAAUCACUUGAACCUGGGAGGCAGAGGUUGCAGUGAGCCGAGAUCGCACCAUUGCACUCCAGCCUGGACAACAAGAGUGAAACUCCGUCAAAAAAACAAACAAACAAACAAAAAACCUUGCAACAUACAAACAUCUAUCUUCUGCACUUUCUAUGUUAAAAAAAAAGAUAUGUUUCAAAGAUUAUGAAUCUUUUUAUUAUGAUAAACAACAACAUUCUUUGCCCACUCAUGAUAUGCUUGGUACAAAACUAUGAGAGAAAAUGCAUAGACUUUGUCUUCAGAAGUUUGUAUCCUAUAAGUAGAAACAGGAAAUGCAGAUUACUCUCAAGCAUACAUAGAAAUAUAAUUCAUACACUAAAGAGAUUUCAAGUUUUAUUUAGCAACUUGUACUCUACCUUUUUGCAAAACUUUAUGAAGAUUGCAUCACUAAAGAGAGCAAGCACACAGAUUUGGAAAAAAAAAAAUCUGACGAUCAAAGAAGCCCCUCCUCACACUACCAAAGGUUUAAAGACAACGGAAAAAAGUGGUAUAGACAGAUCCUCAAAGCCUCUCACCAUGUCCUAUUCUCAAUGAGACAUAGCCUAAGAAAACGGAAUCUAAAAGCAAGACAGAUACAUUACCAACAAAUACAGUAGUUUGUAGAUGAAAACAAAAAAUGAUUUAACAAAAAUAAAAUAAUCCAUUGAAAGCUGAUACGGGUUUGGAUGUUUUGUCCUGUUCAAAUCUCAUGUUGAAAUGUGAUCCCCAGUGUUGGAGGUGGAGCCUGGUGGGAGGUGUUAGAGUCAGGGAGGCAGGUCCCUCAUGAGUGUCUUGGUGCCCUCCUAGUGGCAAUGAGUGAGUUCUCACUCUGAGUUCAAAAGCUGGUUAUUUAAAUCAGCCUGGAAUUUCCUCCUCUCACUCUUGCUCCAUCAAUCGCUGUGUGACACAAUGGUUCCUCUUGCCUUCCAUCAUGACCAGCAGCCUCCUGAGACCCUCACUAGAAGCAAAUGAUGGAGCUAUGAUUGCACAGCGUGUAGAAUCAUGAGCCAAAUAGCCCUCUUUUCCUUAUAAAUUUUCCAGCCUUAGGUAUUCCUUUACAGCAACAAAAAU